AAGAGCCUGGUUUUUACGCCAAGCUGAUGUUUUCAGCAGCAGUCCGCUGUGGAGAAAAUUCAAGCAGUCUUAGGGGCCUGAAGUUUUCGCUGCUUCUUACCGGAUCGACAGUGGGAAAGAAGGGUGGCAGCGUGCAGUACCUUGUGAAAUGGAGAGACUUUAUCCUCUAUGAACUUGGGAGUAUGAAGAUAUCAGAUAUCAGUGACGAUCUAUCAGGUGAUUUCAUUUCAUUUUGGGUGAAUUUAUUGAAUGUAUUCUUGCAUGAAUUUGAAAAUCUCCCUUUUGUUUGCUGUA